rnacentral:lncRNA from 1 species
AACUGGGGGGAAUUCCUUGAUUAUGCUAAUAUCGCCUAGAGAUAGGGGUAGGACAUUCAUUGCAUUUGCUUCUGUUCAUCAUGCAUUAUUAAUUACUAGGGGAGGCUAGAGAUAGCAAGCCAGUAAUUAGUAAUAGGCUCUUUUCGCCAAGAGAUUGGGUUUAGGGUAGACUAAGAAAGUUUGCAUAACAAUUUGAUAAAUAAGCUAAUUAAAUAAGAAGAAUAAAUAAAAGAGAGUGGAUAAGAUGAAAUUGUAAACACCAACAACUUCAUUCAUUCAUACUUUUCUCUUGUCAAUUGAUUCAACUGCAUUUACAUGUUUAUUUUCUUUAUUUGCAAUCAACACUUAAAUUCUUUUCUUUUCAAGUCUUAUGCGAUUGAUCUACAUGAACGUUAAGGCCUGAGAGUUCCUUUGGGAAAACGAUACUCGGACUUACCCGUUUAAUUACUACUUGAUAACGAUCUAGUACACUUACCAAGGACUUAACAAGUUUUUGGCGCCGUUGCCGGGGAACUCUUGGUUUAACUUUUCUAGUAGUGUAGAUUGGUUUAAGUUUUUGACUUGAUUGUAUAUAUAUUUUGUUUUUUUUAGUUUAUUUUUAUUUAAAAGUGCUACUAGGGUUUGUGUUUCUUGUGCAUGCAGGAGACUAAACACACUAGGAGUAAGAAAAACACACAACUUCUUCUUGAAGGCUUAAUUGAUAGAAGGGGAAGGAGAGCUAGACGCUCAUCUAGGGAUUUGUUUCCUUCUCCUAGCAGAUCACUAUCACCUUCAUCAAAGCAUAGAACUGAGGAGAUGACUGAACAACCACCUCCCAGACGCACACUUGGUGAUGCCCAGAAUGUUG